rnacentral:rRNA from 1 species
UACGUAGGGGGCAAGCGUUGUCCGGAUUUAUUGGGCGUAAAGAGCGUGUAGGCGGUUAGAUAGGUCCGUUGUGAAAACUCGAGGCUCAACCUCGAGACGUCGAUGGAAACCAUCUGGCUAGAGUCCGGAAGAGGAGAGUGGAAUUCCUGGUGUAGCGGUGAAAUGCGCAGAUAUCAGGAAGAACACCGGUGGCGAAGGCGGGUCUCUGGGCCGAUACUGACGCUGAGAAGCGAAAGCGUGGGGAGCGAACAGG